UACGGGGGGAGCAAGCGUUGUUCGGAUUUACUGGGCGUAAAGCGCGUGUAGGCGGUCCGAUAAGUCGGUUGUGAAAGUCCAGGGCUCAACCCUGGGAUGCCGACCGAUACUGUCGGACUAGAGUUCGGAAGAGGCGAGUGGAAUUCCCGGUGUAGCAGUGAAAUGCGUAGAGAUGUGGAGGAACACCGAUGGCGAAGGCAGCCCCCUGGGCUGAGAUUGACGCUCAGGCACGAAAGCGUGGGGAGCAAACAGG
rnacentral:rRNA from 1 species